rnacentral:rRNA from 1 species
AUUGAACGCUGGCGGCAGGCCUAACACAUGCAAGUCGAACGGUAGCACAGAGAGCUUGCUCUAGGGUGACGAGUGGCGGGCGGGUGAGUAACGUCUGGGAAACUGCCCGAUGGAGGGGGAUAACUAAUGGAAACGGUAGCUAAUACCGCAUAACGUAGCAAGACCAAAAUGGGGGACCUUCGGGCCUCACACCAUCGGAUGUGCCCAGAUGGGAUUAAGUAGGAGGUGGGGUAAUGGCUCACCUAGGCGACGAUCCCUAGAUGGUCUGAGAGGAUGGCCAGCGAAACUGGAACUGCGACAGGGUACGGACCCCUACGGGAGGCAGCAGUGGGUAAUAUUGCACAAUGGGCGCAAGCCUGAUGCAGCCAUGCAGCGUGUAUGAAGAAGGCCUUCGGGUUGUAAAGUACUUUCAGCGGGGAGGAAGGCGGUGGAGUUAAUAACUUCACCGAUUGACGUUACCCGCAGAAGAAGCACCGGCUAACUCCGUGCCAGCCGCCGCCGUAA